UCAUGUGAUUAUUUCUUAAACUUAAAACUUUGAAGUUUCUCAAAUUCUGAACAUAUGUAGCAUACAAGAAAAAAGUAUAUAAAUAUUAUAUACAUAGUCAGAGAUAUACUUUUCAUUUUCAUGUAUAUAAUAUUAAUUAUUAUGCCUUACACUUAACAUUUUCAAGUUUCUCAAAUUCUAAACAUCUGCAGCAUAAAAGGUAUAUAAAUACACAUAGUCAGACAUAUAAUUCUCAACAUGGUGUCACUCAUCAAAGUAUUACUUUUGGAAUAUUUGUGGCUUGAUGUCUUUGUUAUUGUUUGUAUGGUACCUUUGUCUCUAACAUAUGAUCUUAUUAGCUAAACAACAAGAAUUAAGAAAGUUAUGAGUGGAAGGUGCAACCUAUUUUGUGUUAGAAUCAUUUGAGUUUUGUGUGGUGUUGGUCUCUAUCUCUCUCUCUAUGUAUUUAUCUAUAUAUGAUUCUCAAGUAUCAGGUGAAUUCCAUUGUUUGGAUGAUAAUUUGAAGAAUUUUUAAAAUGAUGAAAAUUUAUGAAGUAUUUUGUUCAAGUUAAAUUUAGAGUGUGUUUGGAUGGGGGAAUUUUUUGAGGUAAAAUAAUAUUUUGAGGGAAUUCAAAUGAUUUGAGGUGAAUUCCAUUGUUUGGAUGGAAAUUUGAAGAAUUUUCA
rnacentral:lncRNA from 1 species